UUCUGCGUGGAAGGGCCAUCGCUCAACGGAUAAAAGCUACCCUGGGGAUAACAGGCUUAUCUUCCCCAAGAGUCCACAUCGACGGGGAGGUUUGGCACCUCGAUGUCGGCUCAUCACAUCCUGGGGCGGUAGUAGGUCCCAAGGGUUGGGCUGUUCGCCCAUUAAAGUGGUACGCGAGCUGGGUUCAGAACGUCGUGAGACAGUUCGGUCCCUAUCCGUCGCAGGCGUAGGAAAUUUGAGAAGACCUGUCCUUAGUACGAGAGGACCGGGAUGGACGUACCUCUGGUGUACCAGUUGU
rnacentral:rRNA from 1 species